rnacentral:RNase_P_RNA from 1 species
GUAAGCUAUGCGGUAGCUUGGCGGAACUACGUCAAGAGGAAAGUCCGAGCAUCACAGAGCAGAAUAGCUGCUAACGGCAGCCGAGGGUGACCUUAGAGCCAGUGCAACAGAAAUAUACCGCCGCUUUGCGGUAAGGGUGGAAAGGCGAGGUAAGAGCUCACCGGAUCGUCGGAGACGGCGAUGCCAUGUAAACCUUAUUCGAUGCAACUCCAAUGGUAGGCGUUAAAUUAAUGGCUGCUCGUCAGAUUUGCGCUUAUAGGAGGCUUGAAGCGUACAGCAAUGUGCGUUCUAGAUAGAUUACCGCACUCGACAAAACUCGGCUUAUCGGCUUAGUC